rnacentral:lncRNA from 1 species
CUGUUUAUCUUGCCGCCAUUGCAUUCCCACACGACACCGCGACUAUAUAAAGUGCACUUGCCGUCCAUGACGCUACACCCACAAACAAGCAUGAAGUUUCUCGCUCUUCUCCUGAUCGUCGCCGUCUUCACCCUCAACACUGGCGAGGUGAGCGGCCAGCAGUGUGCGGGUGCCUGCAAGAACGAGGCACAUGGUGGACACGACUUCUGCAUUGCCCAGUGCUCUUCCUGUACACAUGGAGCCCAUUGUGACCAUCACAAUGACGUUUGUAUCUGUCAACACGCAUAGGAAUGAUCUCCUGGGAAUGGUUUGGUCUGUCAGCCAAAUGCAGGUCAAAUACAGCAAAUACUUUAAUAAACAACAUUUUUAAAUAUA